rnacentral:rRNA from 1 species
AGAUUAGUUCUUUCUUAAAAUAUUCUAGCAAAGCCAAGUAAAUCUAAUUUUUAAGAAUUAUUCAAUAAAGGUACAGCUUUAUUGAAAAAGGAAACAACCUAAACCUUAGGAUAAUGAAUAUUUUUAAAUAGGUAAAAGGCCAAGUUGGCCUAAAAGCAGCCAUCUUUAAAGAUAGCGUCAAAGCUUCACCUUAAACACACCUUAAAUCUCAUUAUUUUUUCAUAAUCCAACAAUUCUACUAAGCCAUUCUAUACUUUUAUAGAAAAGUUUAUGUUAGGACUAGUAACACAGAAUAAUUUCUCUUACAUGUAAGUUUAAAUCAACCCGAAUACCUCCUUGAUAAUUACUCAAAUUUGAACCUUAAGUAGUACCUAUUAAUUACAAAAACCCUACUUAACUUAUUGUUAAUCAAACAUAUGGAUAUGAAAGAAAGAUUAAAAAAUUAAGAAGGAACUCGGCAAACACAAGUCCCGCCUGUUUACCAAAAACAUCGCCUUUUGAAAAGUAUAAAAGGUAACGCCUGCCCACUGACAGUAUGUUUAACGGCCGCGGUAUUCUGACCGUGCGAAGGUAGCGUAAUCACUUGUCUUUUAAAUGAAGACUCGUAUGAAAGGCAUCACGAGAACUUAGCUGUCUCCUUAAUUCAAUCAGUGAAACUGAUACCCCUGUAAAAAAGCAGGGAUGAUUACAUAAGACGAGAAGACCCUGUGGAGCUUAAAACAUAAGCUACUUCUAUACUCUACUAACUUAUAGUACUAAAAUACAAACCUAGCCUAAGUUUUCUGUUGGGGCGGCUGUGGAGAAAAACUUAUCCUCCAUGAAGAAAAAACUUUGAUCUACCGCUCUUAGUAUUAGCAAGCCUAACUUAAAUUGAUCCAAUUUUUGAUCAACGGACCAAGUUACCCCAGGGAUAACAGCGCAAUCCAUUUCAAGAGUCCCUAUCGACAAAUGGGUUUACGACCUCGAUGUUGGAUUAGGACAUCCUAGUGGUGUAGCCGCUACUAAUGGUCGU